GGUGAGAGUAAGUUAGGACUGACCUGCCCACUCAUCAGAAUAAUGUUAGACACUGAUAUGGAUUAACCCUUUCUUUCUUCCUCCUAGCAUAUCAUACUCUUGUUGUAAAGUGUGACCUUUGGUUGACAGAACCAAGAGGGACCGAGGAGGAGCAAGACUGAGAGCCAAAACCUGGAGGACCAGUCGAGAACACACAGUUAAAACGCCAGGUCAACUACUAUCCUUCCCACAGUGCAGUGGGCUCCACAAUGACGUCGCCUUGCUAAGCUGUGUAUUGAUAUGGAGCACAGUUAUCAAAUGAGGACUCUACCAAAACUCCUCUUCCGUUUAUUUGCAUCAGAAAUCCAGCAGUGUGAUAUCAGUGUGGCUGCUCAGAGGGAACACGGGACUGACAGUGAGAAAGGAGGAAGAGGAGGAGGAGGAGGAGAGGACGCGUCACAUCGGGAGGGUUGUUACAGUAAACAGGAAGGAAGCACAUUUCACCACAACACCAUCAGACACGUGGGAGCGGAGCACGCUGGAAGUCUGGUACUAGACUCGUACUGAAUGAAGCAGACGGCUCUGGGAUCAGCCACAGCUCUCACACUGUCUACAGACAGUGUCCGCUUUUCACCAUCAACACUGACAGUGUUUACGGCGUGCUACGUCACUUCCCAGGCAGCUAGUUAAAGGGACUGACGUGCUGACGGUGUCCUGUCUGCAUUAUCACGUGGAGCACAAGAACCUCCGCGCGUGCUUGUUUGCCCUGUAGCUCUGCCGACUUGGCACCAUGGGUGAUCGAAUUGCAUCCUUUAAGGCGCAACUGAAAACACGUGUUCAGACUGGCCUUCUCUGAUGCUCCCUAAUGUUUUCAGACAUCCAUGUGUGUCCUGUCUCCAGCCCAAUAUAUUGGAGUGUUGGCUUCUCCAUACUUCCCAGCCUCUCCACCAACUAGCCCACUGCCUGCGCACCUCUGCCACCAGUCAGUCUUCACCAGAGUCUCCCCAAGGAUCCUGGCACCUUAACCCAGCCUGCCACUGCACUUCUCUGCAUGCAGUGGAGCUUCAUGACCCCUCCCCUCACGGAACCCUCUUUACUGGCUUCACUGAACUACCCCUGAACUGCAUUAUUAUCCCUCCGAUUGUUGAAUACAUCAUCUAAUAACCUGG